UAACCUUUCAAAACUUUUUUUUUUUUUUCCAUCUGGUUCAAAUUGUCUGCAACGGGUUAAACAGAAGCCCAAAUUAAUUUAUUUCAACUUCUUUUAAAAAAUGUAAUCGGCUCACCAUCUUCCCGUUGCAAGAACUCCCCUUCAAAGGGAAGAUUGCAAAACCACCCAUUUAUCUUUUUAUACCAGUUUUAAAGCAACCAAACCACCUUCUAUCUUUGUCAUAUUGGAGGGAAAAAAAAAAAGAUAUGCAAGGGUUGGUAGUCAAUAAACACUUGUCAUAUUCCACCGACGCUAGGGUUUGAAUCGUGGAGAUUGUAAUCAGGCGAUAGGAAAAUUUUGUUCAUUGAUAAGCCUUUUGAACGUUUAUUUAUGCUUCAAAUCUUUAGAGGUUCAGAAAUUACAGGUUAACUGCUGCAACUGCCUGGGUAUUCAAGCUUUCUGAGCAUAUGUCAGAUCCCCUUACGAAUUGGAUUCGAAAGUUCAACCAAGCAGUGUUGAAAUAAACUGUGGCUUUUGUUUAGAUAAGGCCUCUAUGAGUCGUGACUCAUAACAAAUAUGCCAAGAAGAUCAUCCAGAUGAUAAACAAACAUCUAUAGCUUCAAAUCAAGGAAGUAAUUCAAGCCAUUCUACUGGGAAAGAUUUAUGAAUCUUGUUCUUUUGGGGUCCAAAUUGCAUUUGUCCUUAUUGUAAAGUAUGGAUGCGGUACAAGGAUAGGACAGACAUCUCAAAGGAAUGUCCAAACCCAACAUUUUCUCUCUGUUGUAGAGAAGGCGCAAUCAGAUCCUUUCAUUUUAAACCAAGUCCUACUAUUUUAGAUUUGAUGCUGAGUACAUGGCAGGGCAAAUCAUAUGAAGAUAGAAUAAAAUUGUGUUUGUAAUCUAACAAAAUGAGGUGUAUUGACGGUGUUUUUGGGUGUUCUAGCUGGGAGAGGAUGAGGCAAGGCUGAAGGGGAGACAGCCCGAACCUGCAGUCAAAGAAUACAGUCAGGGGGUGCCGAAGUUGUUGCUCUGGGAUACAUUCCGAUGCUCAAGUUAGCGAGAUAUUCCAAGUAAAGUAAGGAGGGAAGGAAGAGGAAGGUGGUGAGGUGUGUGUGUGAAGCUUAAGGGAAGAUAGGGUUAGGUAUGAAGUAUAAGAAUGUCUUAGGUACCUAGAUUGCCUUAUGUAUGGAAUGAUAGUUAGUUAUAAGACCACGGUGGUUGAUAAUUGAUGGGAUACAUACGUGAAAUUCGAGAAGGAUCAACAUGGAUUGAUGUGAGUCGUAUCUAAUAAUUCUAGGCAGGCGUGGGCUGUAUUUAAUGUCAGGUGGUCAGUUUUGAAAUAAUUGUCCUGACAGCAUGUUAGUGGGACAUUGGGCGAGUCUUUCUCGGCAAAAGGAGAGCCAUUUCCUUGAGAGCAAGUGACAUAACAUUCUAGGCGUGCUUUACUUGAGCGAUCCAAGGGUAUGAUUGUAUUGGCCAAGCCUUGACCAAGUUGGUCGUUGACCAGGCAAUUUAGGUGUAACAAGGUGCAAGUUGGUUUGAUGCAUGGGGAACUUUGGCCUUUACAUAAACUAUGCAUGGACAUAUGAAUAUUUAUGAUUCAUUGAGAUGUUUGUAGUGUUCUUUAGUUACUAAUCUUAUCGAGAAUCAAUUAUAUUAAGGUUAGAGUUACAUAUACUGUUUGUAUAUUUUUAGUUAUGAUUGGAAUUUAUGACAUGAAGAAACUAUUUAGUAUUCAAACAGACGUCAGCCUUAGAUUAAAAUUAGAAAGCAAGUACAGCUUUACAAAGAUAUUCCUUUAUAAUGCAAAUCAGUUUGUAUUUAUUGUCUUACUUUUUUAAAAAAAAUUUAAAAAAUUACAUCAAUAAAAAACAUAGUUAACCUGCAGCGGAGCGUGAGCUUUCCUUCUAGUUCAAGUUUAUUUUGGCGUUUCAAAGUUUCUUUGCAAACGUGGAGAUUUUUUAUUGUUUGGCCAGAUUCGAACAUGGAGAUUAAAUGAAGUAAGAAAAAUGAAAAUUAAGAUAUAUGGGUGGAUGAAUUUUUCCAAAUAUUUUCGUUAAAUGUCAUGAUGUUUUUUAUUAGGUUAAAUGCUCAAUUUAGUUCAAAGAGUUAAUUAAAUCAAAGACCAGAGCUAAUUGUAACAAAUAAGAACCUCAACUAUAGAAUGUAACAAAUAAGAACUUCAAGU